rnacentral:rRNA from 1 species
CCUACGGGUGGCAGCAGUGAGGAAUAUUGGUCAAUGGACGAAAGUCUGAACCAGCCAAGUAGCGUGAAGGAUGACGGCCCUAUGGGUUGUAAACUUCUUUUAUAAGGGGAUAAAACGAGGCACGUGUGCCUUUUUGCAUGUACCUUAUGAAUAAGGAUCGGCUAACUCCGUGCCAGCAGCCGCGGUAAUACGGAGGAUUCGGGCGUUAUCCGGAUUUAUUGGGUUUAAAGGGAGCGUAGGCGGGUUGUUAAGUCAGCUGUGAAAGUCCGUGGCUCAACCGUAGAAUUGCAGUUGAUACUGGCAGGCUUGAGUACAGUUGAGGUAGGCGGAAUUCGUGGUGUAGCGGUGAAAUGCUUAGAUAUCACGAAGAACCCCGAUUGCGAAGGCAGCUUACUAAGCUGUGACUGACGUUGAUGCUCGAAAGCGUGGGUAUCAAACAGGAUUAGAUACCCCAGUAGUC